rnacentral:tRNA from 1 species
GGCUCCGUAACGUAGUGGCCUAGCACGCGGCCCUCUCGAAGCUGUGGCGGCAGUUCGAAUCCGCUCGGGGCUACCA